rnacentral:rRNA from 1 species
CCUACGGGCGGCAGCAGUAGGGAAUUUUCGGCAAUGGGGGGAACCCUGACCGAGCAACGCCGCGUGAACGAAGAAGUUACUCGUAAUGUAAAGUUCUUUUAACAGGGAAGAAAGAGAAAUUUGACGGUACAUGAAGAAUAAGUUCCGGCAAACUACGUGCCAGCAGCCGCGGUAAUACGCAGGGAGCGAGCGUUUUCCGUAAUUAUUGGGCGUAAGGGGUGCGUAGAUGGCAUAGUAAGUCUUUUGUAAAAAUGCUGGGCAAAACCCAGUAGGGCAAAAGAUACUGCAAAGCUAGAGUAUGACAGAGGCAAGUGGAACUACAUGUGUAGCGGUAAAAUGCGUAAAUAUAUGUAAGAACACCAGUGGCGAAGGCGGUUUGCUGGGUCGAUACUGACAUUGAGGCACGAAAGCGUGGGGAGCAAACAGGAUUAGAUACCCUUGUAGUC